CUUGGGUCGUAAACCUCUUUUCUCAAGGAAGAAGAAAGUGACGGUACUUGAGGAAUAAGCAUCGGCUAACUCCGUGCCAGCAGCCGCGGUAAUACGGAGGAUGCAAGCGUUAUCCGGAAUGAUUGGGCGUAAAGGGUCUGCAGGUGGAACUGAAAGUCUGCUGUUAAAGAGUUUGGCUUAACCAAAUAAAAGCGGUGGAAACUACAGAACUAGAGUGCGGUAGGGGCAAAAGGAAUUCCUGGUGUAGCGGUGAAAUGCGUAGAUAUCAGGAAGAACACCGGUGGCGAAAGCGUUUUGCUAGACCGUAACUGACACUGAGGGACGAAAGCUAGGGGAGCGAAUGGGAUUAGAUACCCCAGUAGUCCUAGCCGUAAACGAUGGAUACUAGGCGUGGCUUGUAUCGACCCGAGCCGUGCCGGAGCUAACGCGUUAAGUAUCCCGCCUGGGGAGUACGCACGCAAGUGUGAAACUCAAAGGAAUUGACGGGGGCCCGCACAAGCGGUGGAGUAUGUGGUUUAAUUCGAUGCAACGCGAAGAACCUUACCAAGACUUGACAUCCUGCGAAUCCCGGUGAAAGCUGGGAGUGCCUUAGGGAGCGCAGAGACAGGUGGUGCAUGGCUGUCGUCAGCUCGUGUCGUGAGAUGUUGGGUUAAGUCCCGCAACGAGCGCAACCCUCGUUUUUAGUUGCCAGCAUUAAGUUGGGCACUCUAGAGAGACUGCCGGUGACAAACCGGAGGAAGGUGAGGAUGACGUCAAGUCAGCAUGCCCCUUACGUCUUGGGCUACACACGUACUACAAUGCUACGGACAGAGGGCAGCGAGCCAGGGAUGGCAAGCGAAUCCAGAAACCGUAGCUCAGUUCAGAUCGAAGGCUGCAACUCGCCUUCGUGAAGGAGGAAUCGCUAGUAAUUGCAGGUCACAUACUGCA
rnacentral:rRNA from 1 species